GCCCUCGUGGUGUAAUGGAUAGCACGCAAGAUUCCGGUUCUUGAAAUAGGGGUUCGAUUCCCUUCGAGGGCGCUA
rnacentral:tRNA from 2 species